UCCAAGGAGAAGAAACGAUUAAGCAAAAGUUGUAGCAAGAUACGAUCCUCUGAUGUGUCGUUGGCCGUUCAAGCGGUAUCGCCUGUCGAUGAGAUAUCGAUGGGCAUGCCUUACUCUCCCGACUGGAUUACUGAGAGUUUAAUCAGGGAUCGAUGGUCAAACAGACCAAUGAGCGAUAAACCAAACUGAACACAUAUUGAUGUCGGCAUUUCCUAUCAUUUGUCGCAGGUUGUUUAGGGACCGGAGCAGCUUGCGACCGAGACGGUCCCCGGGGGUUUCUUUCUCUAAGGAGUGGAAACGAUUAAGCAAAAGUCGUAGCAAUAAUCGAUCACCUGAUGUGUCGUUGGCCGUUCUUGCGGUAUCGCCUGUCGAUGAGAUAUCGAUGGGCAUGCCUUACUCUCCUGACUGUUUAAUUGAGAGUUAUAAUCAGGGAUCGAUGGUCAAAAAGACCUAUGAGCGAUAAACCAAACUGAACACGUAUUGAUGUCGGCAUUUCCUAUCAUUUGUCGCAGGUUGUUUGGGGACCGGAGCAGCUUGCGACCGAGACGGUCCCUUCCCGAAAGAUGGUGAACCGAGUCGUCUGGCGUAAAAACCGGACGACUCGAAAGGGCUUGACCCUUUCAAGUGAGCGAUAAUCACAUUCUACGCUCAGUUCGACAGCUACAAGGCAAUCACUCGCUAUGUUCAGAGCUAAUACAUGCAACAUGCCGGCAUUGUUUCCACCGACGCAUGGAUUCAAGACUGGUGCACUUAUUAGUUAAACCGUUCGCCUCCGGGUGUUUCGAGUUCAAGUCUGGAUGAGGAUUGAUCUUGCUGGUAAUAGCUUGAGCCCUUAAGGGGUCGAAGCGUACAUCUUGAGACCAUGUACAACAUAUUACCAAAUCGGCACCAUGGGUUCUGGUGCAAGUGAUGUAACCGUGAAAGAUGUUGAGCAGCCCAACAUCGGUUUACACACGCAUAAUAGGAAGGCAGCGCUGUCGACUGGUCAGUCGUGUAAGAAGUGUGCAUUAUCGAUCACAAAUAUAUUGGUGAUCUGUAGGUUGCGCAUACACCAUGCCCGGUGUAAAGUGCCGUGGUCCCCCCCGGGGGGCUGCAUCAAACCGUUCGCCACGCGAACUACCCAAUGGAACGAACUCGAUGCAUUUAAUAAGAAGAAGAGAUGAUAAUGAAACACGGUCGAUUUAAGAGUUGAAAACGUUGAAAUGCCUAUAAGCAAGUCUUAAGUUGGUGGUGACCGUUACGCCCCAACAAAUUGGUGCCUUACCCUACACCAAAGAGCCAUUCAACAUGGUUCAAGUGAGCGAUAAUCACGCUCUACGCUCAGUUCGACAGCUGCAAGGCAAUCACUCGCUAAGUUCAGAGCUAAUACAUGCAACACGCCGGCAUUGUUUCCACCGACGCAUGGAUUCAAGACUGGUGCACUUAUUAGUUAAACCGUUCGCCUCCGGGUGUUUCGAGUUCAAGUCUGGAUGAGGAUUGUUCUUGCUGGUAAUAGCUUGAGCCCCUGAAUAAGGGGCCGAAGCGUACAUCUUGAGAGUAAAUGUACAACAUAUUACCAAAUCGGCACCGUGGGUUCUGGUGCAAGUGAUGUAACCAUGAAAGAUGUUGAGCAGCCCAACAUCGGUUUACACACGCAUAAUAGGAAGGCAGCGCUGUCGACUGGUCAGUCGUGUAAGAAGUGUGCAUUAUCGAUCUCCAAUAUAUGAGCUCAGUAUGACAGCCCAAUUGGUAAUCCUCGGGACCUCCAGAAAGGAAGCUGGAUGAGGAUUACCAAAUCGAAAGUUGAUAAGUGUAGUGGUACCACUUAGUCAACUUGUAUCCCGAAAGAUGGUGAACCGAGUCGUCUGGCGUAAAAACCGGACGACUCGAAAGGGCUUGACCCUUUCAAGUGAGCGAUAAUCACAUUCUACGCUCAGUUCGACAGCUACAAGGCAAUCACUCGCUAUGUUCAGAGCUAAUACAUGCAACAUGCCGGCAUUGUUUCCACCGACGCAUGGAUUCAAGACUGGUGCACUUAUUAGUUAAACCGUUCGCCUCCGGGUGUUUCGAGUUCAAGUCUGGAUGAGGAUUGAUCUUGCUGGUAAUAGCUUGAGCCCCUGAAUAAGGGGUCGAAGCGUACAUCUUGAGACCAUGUACAACAUAUUACCAAAUCGGCACCAUGGGUUCGGGUGCAAGUGAUGUAACCGUGAAAGAUGUUGAGCAGCCCAACAUCGGUUUACACACGCAUAAUGGGAAGGCAGCGCUGUCGACUGGUCAGUCGUGUAAGAAGUGUGCAUUAUCGAUCACAAAUAUAUUGGUGAUCUGUAGGUUGCGCAUACACCAUGCCCGGUGUAAAGUGCCGUGGUCCCCCCCGGGGGGCUGCAUCAAACCGUUCGCCACGCGAACUACCCAAUGGAACGAACUCGAUGCAUUUAAUAAGAAGAAGAGAUGAUAAUGAAACACGGUCGAUUUAAGAGUUGAAAACGUUGAAAUGCCUAUAAGCAAGUCUUAAGUUGGUGGU